rnacentral:rRNA from 1 species
UACAGAGGUGCCGAGCGUUAGGCGGAAUCACUGGGCUUAAAGCGUGUGUAGGCGGACGUCUAAGUACCUUGUGAAAUCCCACGGCUCACCCGUGGAACUGCUGGGUAUACUGGGCGUCUUGAGCCACCUAGGGGCCAGCGGAACAAAGGGUGGAGCGGUGAAAUGCGUAGAUAUCAUUUGGAACGCCAACGGUGAAAACAGCUGGCUGGGGGUGUGCUGACGCUGAGACACGAAAGCCAGGGGAGCGAACGGG